rnacentral:rRNA from 1 species
GACGAACGCUGGCGGCGUGCUUAACACAUGCAAGUCGAACGAAGUGGCGAACGGGUGAGUAACGCGUAAUCAACCUGCCCUUCAGAGGGGGACAACAGUUGGAAACGACUGCUAAUACCGCAUACUGACGGUGGGGAUUGCGUCUGAUUAGCUAGUUGGAGGGGUAACGGCCCACCAAGGCGAUGAUCAGUAGCCGGUCUGGGAGGGUGAACGGGCAACAUGGGACUGAGGCACGGCCCAGACUCCCUCGGGAGGCAGCAGUGGGGAAACUUCCGGAAUGGACGAAAGUCUGGCGGAGCAACGGCGCGGGAGUGAUGACAGCCUUCGGGUUGGAAAGCUCUGUUAAUCGGGACGCGGUACCGGAAUAGAAAGCCACGGCUAACUACGUGCCAGCAGCCGCGGUAAUAC